rnacentral:rRNA from 1 species
UAGGGAAUCUUCGGCAAUGGGGGGAACCCUGACCGAGCAACGCCGCGUGAGUGAAGAAGGUUUUCGGAUCGUAAAGCUCUGUUGUUAAGGAAGAACGAGUGUGAGAACGGAAAGUUCAUACUGUGACGGUACUUAACCAGAAAGGGACGGCUAACUACGUGCCAGCAGCCGCGGUAAUACGUAGGUCCCGAGCGUUGUCCGGAUUUAUUGGGCGUAAAGCGAGCGCAGGCGGUUAGAAAAGUCUGAAGUGAAAGGCAGUGGCUCAACCAUUGUAGGCUUUGGAAACUGUUUAACUUGAGUGCAGAAGGGGAGAGUGGAAUUCCAUGUGUAGCGGUGAAAUGCGUAGAUAUAUGGAGGAACACCGGUGGCGAAAGCGGCUCUCUGGUCUGUAACUGACGCUGAGGCUCGAAAGCGUGGGGAGCGAACAGG